AUUGAACGCUGGCGACAGGCCUAACACAUGCAAGUCGAGCGGGGUUUUCGGACCUAGCGGCGGACGGGUGAGUAAUGCGUAGGAAGCUGCCCGAUAGAGGGGGAUACCAGUUGGAAACGACUGUUAAUACCGCAUAACGUCUACGGACCAAAGUGUGGGACCUUCGGGCCACAUGCUAUCGGAUGCGCCUACGUGGGAUUAGCUAGUUGGUGGGGUAAUGGCGCACCAAGGCGACGAUCUCUAGCUGGUUUGAGAGGAUGAUCAGCCACACUGGAACUGGGACACGGUCCAGACUCCUACGGGAGUCAGCAGUGGGGAAUAUUGGAAAAUGGGCGCAAGCCUGAUCCAGCCAUGCCGCGUGUGUGAAGAAGGCCUUCGGGUUGUAAAGCACUUUCAGCGAGGAGGAAGGGGUGUGUGCUAAUAGUACACACCUUUGACGUUACUCGCAAAAGAAGCACCGGCUAACUCUGUGCCAGCCGCCGCAGUAAAAC
rnacentral:rRNA from 1 species